ACCCCUUCUGUGUGCUGUCUUCACAGGCACCGCCCUGUAAUAGCAAAGCCUUCUCCGGACCUGCCCCCCUCCCUACCCCAACUCUGGCUUCUCUUUACAGACAUGCUCCUUGGGCAAUGCUACUGGACAUCUCCUCUUGGAGUCCUGCGGGAACGCCAACCUCAGCAUGCCUGAAGUUCUUGCUGUUUAACCUCCCAAAGGCCCUAUCCCGGAAUGUGGCACAACCAAUACAGUCCCCAAGCUGGAAGCAUUGGAGUCACUCUUUAAAAGAUAAACGACUAUGCAAAUG